UGGGGAAUUUUGGACAAUGGGCGCCAGCCUGAUCCAGCCAUGCCGCGUGCAGGAUGAAGGCCUUCGGGUUGUAAACUGCUUUUGUACGGAACGAAAAGACUCUGGUUAAUACCUGGGGUCCAUGACGGUACCGUAAGAAUAAGCACCGGCUAACUACGUGCCAGCAGCCGCGGUAAUACGUAGGGUGCGAGCGUUAAUCGGAAUUACUGGGCGUAAAGCGUGCGCAUGCGGUUAUAUAAGACAGAUGUGAAAUCCCCGGGCUCAACCUGGGAACUGCAUUUGUGACUGUAUAGAUAGAGUACGGCAGAGGGGGAUGGAAUUCCGCGUGUAGCAGUGAAAUGCGUAGAUAGGCGGAGGAACACCGAUGGCGAAGGCAAUCACCUGGGCGUGUACUGACGCUCAUGCACGAAAGCGUGGGGAGCGAACA
rnacentral:rRNA from 1 species